CUAGGUUUUUCUCACUGAUUCCAAUAUCAAACUUUUCAUCGCUUUUUGGGUCUUCCAUUUUCAAACUUGGAGUACUUGGCUUAGAGCUUUGAGUUUUGAAAAGGGAACGACAAUUAAUAUACAAAUCAGUGAGAAAACCUUUCAGUUUUAUGGUAUCGGAUUUCGUUGUAUGUUGCACUUUGAUAACCCUGAAAGGCUGUGGCAGCCAAAAAACGGAGAAAACCUGGAAAUUCCGCGGUUACUAUAACUCGCAGGAAUAAAGAAGAGAGAUAAACUUUUUUCUACAAAGUCGAUUCCAAAAACAAACUAAUUGGACACAAUUAAAUCUGAGCUGUUUGUUUUUGCCAAAUCGUUCUUUGUACUCGACAGAAAUUUUAAAAAUAUCAAAACAAAAGAUUGUUACUAUCAAUGAUGCUUUUGUAAAGAAAAAAUUUUCAGAGGUAAAGGUCUUUUUCCCCACUUGUUUUACAAGUUGGUUAUUUUGAAGAAAAGUUGUACCAUAAACGAUUAUUAUAUGUGCAAAUUUGAGGUAUAUCGGGUCUAAAAUUUUACAUAAGAUGUUUUGUUCAUGUACUAAAAUUUUGUCAUGAAAAAUUUCGACACAUGUGUGACUUCGCCGAUGUGUGGGACCGGCGUCCCCCAAAUUGAAAAGAUAAGGAUCGUAGACCUCACAUUCAUUAAAGCAUCUGAGUAUAAAUCGCUUAAGAGGUGAGCUGGUGCCACACACUAUCUAUUAAAGACUUAACUGUGACUAGUAGAGAUAGACUCUAGAGUAUUUUAGUUGCAUGACUGCUUUACAGAGUUCGCUAUUUAAUAUUCUGCAGCAUUUUAUAUAUCUAAGAAAGCUAAUUUUAUCAACUGAAUGUGUUCGUAAUAGAGAAGUUUACCUAAGCUAAUAAAAAUUCUAGAAGCCAUUCUGAAUAAGUAUAUUCAGUUCGUUAUUUCUGAUUUGCUCUUCGGUUGUCCCAUAUUAAUUUCACCUCUUUGCCUUCUAUCGUUUAGUACACCCGUUUUACCACACUACAAAAUGUUAUCGACACAUACUGAUGUGUGAGUAUCUUGGCGCAUAAAAAGAGAUAACGCAUUCGAACAAUUUUCGUUUACUGGUAUUUCUGGGUAAUCGGUAUGCAAUUGAAAUUUACAUAAUGAAGAUAAAGUAAUGUACUAUCUGUAUAAUAAUUUGGAAUUAAUUGCUUACACGUAUGUGAUUUGUACAUGAACUUUUGCUUUCAUAAUGAUUGACUAUCGUAUGCAGUUCGCCUUACUCGACUUUUAUUUCUUCAAUUUGUGCACCAUUGUUUAAACAAACGAAACAAAUAAUAAAUAGCGAGAAGUAAGGACAUUACUGCAACUGCUAUUAAUUUAGUUUUCUCGCCAAGUAUAUUGGCGAAAUACUCUAAAACAUGUAAGUACAAUUCACAAUAGAAAUCGGGAGUCAAUUAACAUUUGUAAAGUAGACGCACAUUGAAGAAGGAAAAUGUGAUUGAUCAAAUCGUGAGCAUUAAAACUUGAUCAAGUAGAUAACUAAUGGAGAAUUCUGCAUUGCUGAUAGAUGCUUAUCUUUAAUAACCGCGUAACCGUUUUCUUUUAAAAUCGUUUCAAUCUUCUUAGUGUUGGAAAAAUUUUCAAAUGCCCUUAUCCUACGAUUCAUUUUCUUGAAACCUUUAAAAAAUUAAGUAUCAUGUUAUUAAUACACUGUCGGUAUAAACAUUGAGCACAAGAAGCAGCUUGCCCUUAAGGAUAUGUCUAUAUCCAGACUUGAAAGUAUGUUUAGAAUGCUGCACACAUCAAGCUGAAACUCAUAUGGGCGCUCCCAAUGUCCACUUUGAGCAAAUCUCUCUAAGAAAGGGGUUUCAAAACAUAAAGGGGCUAGCUGGUUGUAGUGUUGAUCAAAGCUAUGAAAAGUUUAAGCCUAAAUAGCGAAUGUACCAAGUGUCAUAUCAAUUAUUAUUUCAACGAAUUCUUUUCAAAUAAGCAUAAGCUUUUCGUCAGUAUUUCUUACCUUAACAUACGAAAUGAGAAACUGAAUUAAAAUACAGGCCAAAAAGUUGUGAAAAUAAAAGCCGACGAAUAAAGAUGAUAACUAACUGACUUUGGAAUAUACAAAGAACUUCAGCAAGUGGAAUUUUGGGCAAACAAAAAAAUACUUGUCAUCGAUUAUUGCACACAAACAUAUGAAAUUUGAAUUUACAGUUGCAUGUAAUUACUUAAAUCUUGGUAUUGCAUUUUUUUUUUAAAAACUGAAAGAAGAAAUGGUGAAAGCAUCAAUUACCAAGUAGUUUUCAAGUGUUUAUUUUUAGCCCACUGAAAUAAUUGCAACAAAAUGUAUAGAAGUUGGACAUUCCCAUCGCAAGUAAAUCCACAGUCAAAUUGGCUGCAAGUUAUAAUGGUGUUUCUAAUUUUAAAAGUUUCAACCAAGCUGGUUCUUCCCCGUGUUUGAGUUGAUAGAACCAAUGUUUACGCUGCUUUUAUCAGUAACCUUGGGAUGUCCGAGGCCAGAACAUAUUCAAAAAUACGCAAAGCGACCAGCAAAUGCCUCAUUUGAAAGCUGGAGACACAUCCGCGCUAGUCUCGCUAAAUGAAUCAGAAACACACAAUCGGGGCAGAUGGCCGCUUCACCUCGGAAGCUAAAUGCAUUCUUAUCAGAAAAUAAAGGAUGGAAAUAACAAUCAAUAAUUGCAAGUUGAUGAGAAUGUAUAAGCUAUAUACUCGUAAGAUAAGGGGGGGGAACAAGCGAGGGCCGAUUGUAAGCAGCGGAAACAAGCGUUAGCAGAUAUCUCGGAAGCAUAAGUAAUGAAAAGAUACUUUAUAAAUACUGACUGAUGCUAGCUGGUGACAUUAAAAAAAAACCGACUACAGCAAUGGGCCAAAAGCAAUGCAAGAAGAGCGAUUGAUCUAGUUGCUAAAAUUAUAUAAUAUGCAAUUCAUGCUUCUUUGUGUUUUAUGUUGCGAAGUUUUCAUAUAUUGUGUGGAAUCUUCUCAUAUUAAUGUCUAAUAUAAAGCCUGACACCUCAACCCUCAAAUCAAAGACAUGCAACAUUUAUUUACAACAUCCACGGGUGCUAAAGAAAAAUAUCAUGAAAUCCUAAUUUAUACAGACAAAAAUA